rnacentral:tRNA from 2 species
GGGCCCGUGGCCUAGCAGGAUAGGGCACCGGACUUCUAAUCCGGGGAUCGGGGGUUCGAAUCCCCCCGGGUCCG